rnacentral:rRNA from 1 species
UACGUAGGGUGCAAGCGUUGUUCGGAAUCACUGGGCGUAAAGCGCGUGUAGGCGGCCUUCUAAGUCUGGUGUGAAAGCCCGGGGCUUACCCCCGGAAGUGCACUGGAUACUGGAAGACUAGAGUACCGGAGAGGAGGGUGGAAUUCCUGGUGUAGCGGUGAAAUGCGUAGAUAUCAGGAAGAACACCGGUGGCGAAGGCGGCCCUCUGGACGGAUACUGACGCUGAGACGCGAAAGCGUGGGGAGCAAACAGG